AGCGGAGCAUGUGGUUUAAUUCGUAAGCAACGCGAAGAACCUUACCAAGACUUGACAUCCCCUGACAGCUGUUGAAAGGCAGUGUCUCCUCGGAGCAGGGAGACAGGUGGUGCAUGGUUGUCGUCAGCUCGUGUCGUGAGAUGUUGGGUUAAGUCCCGCAACGAGCGCAACCCUUAUCCUUAGUUACCAGCACGUAAAGGUGGGGACUCUAGGGAGACCGCCGGGGACGACUCGGAGGAAGGUGGGGACGACGUCAAAUCAUCAUGCCCCUUAUGUCUUGGGCUACACACGUGCUACAAUGGCCGCAACAGAGGGAAGCGAGAGCGCAAGCUGGAGCAAAACCCUAAAAAGCGGUCCCAGUUCGGAUUGUGGGCUGCAACCCGCCCACAUGAAGUCGGAGUUGCUAGUAAUCGCGAAUCAGCAUGUCGCGGUGAAUGCGUUCCCGGGCCUU
rnacentral:rRNA from 1 species